rnacentral:rRNA from 1 species
UGGGGAAUAUUGCACAAUGGAGGGAACUCUGAUGCAGCGACGCCGCGUGAACGAAGAAGGCUUUCGAGUCGUAAAGUUCUUUUAUAUGGGAAGAUAAUGACGGUACCAUAAGAAAAAGCCCCGGCUAACUACGUGCCAGCAGCCGCGGUAAUACGUAGGGGGCUAGCGUUGUCCGGAAUCACCGGGCGUAAAGGGUUCGCAGGCGGAAAUGCAAGUCAGGUGUAAAAGGCAGUAGCUUAACUACUGUAAGCAUUUGAAACUGCAUAUCUUGAGAAGAGUAGAGGUAAGUGGAAUUUUUAGUGUAGCGAUGAAAUGCGUAGAUAUUAAAAAGAAUACCGGUGGCGAAGGCGACUUACUGGGCUCAUUCUGACGCUGAGGAACGAAAGCGUGGGUAGCAAACAGG